rnacentral:rRNA from 1 species
GAUGAACGCUGGCGGCGUGCUUAACACAUGCAAGUCGAACGGAAAGGCCCAAGCUUGCUUGGGUACUCGAGUGGCGAACGGGUGAGUAACACGUGGGUGAUCUGCCCUGCACUUCGGGAUAAGCCUGGGAAACUGGGUCUAAUACCGGAUAGGACGAUGGUUUGGAUGCCAUUGUGGAAAGUUUUUUCGGUGUGGGAUGAGCUCGCGGCCUAUCAGCUUGUUGGUGGGGUAAUGGCCUACCAAGGCGUCGACGGGUAGCCGGCCUGAGAGGGUGUACGGCCACAUUGGGACUGAGAUACGGCCCAGACUCCUACGGGAGGCAGCAGUGGGGAAUAUUGCACAAUGGGCGCAAGCCUGAUGCAGCGACGCCGCGUGGGGGAUGACGGCCUUCGGGUUGUAAACUCCUUUCGCUAGGGACGAAGCGUUUUGUGACGGUACCUGGAGAAGAAGCACCGCUAACUACGUG